rnacentral:rRNA from 1 species
UUGACCUACGGGGGGCAGCAGUGGGGAAUAUUGGGCAAUGGGCGCAAGCCUGACCCAGCAACGCCGCGUGAAGGAAGAAGGCUUUCGGGUUGUAAACUUCUUUUCUCAGGGACGAAUAGAUGACGGUACCUGAGGAAUAAGCCACGGCUAACUACGUGCCAGCAGCCGCGGUAAUACGUAGGUGGCAAGCGUCAUCCGGAUUUACUGGGUGUAAAGGGCGUGUAGGCGGGAGUGCAAGUCAGAUGUGAAAACUAUGGGCUCAACCCAUAGCCUGCAUUUGAAACUGUACUUCUUGAGUGCUGGAG